AUUUUAUUUCUCUUUUUAGGUGUUUUGCACAGGAAAGUUUGAGUUUCCUAGAGAGUUUAAAC
rnacentral:tRNA from 1 species